UUUUUUUUCUUUUCUCUUUGAUUUUCUUUCCUAGGUGCAUAGGGACCUUUUGGGCUGUCCCACCAGCCCACUAAGGGCUGGUGUGCCACCCUCAAGGCCUAUGGGCUUCCCCGGGGUGGGUUGCCCCCUCUCGGUGAACUCCCGGAACCCAUUCGUCAUUCCCGGUACAUUCCCGGUAACUCCGAAAACCUUCCGGUAAUCAAAUGAGGUCAUCCUAUAUAUCAAUCUUCGUUUCCGUACCAUUCCGGAAACCCUCGUGACGUCCGUGAUCUCAUCCGGGACUCCGAACAACAUUCGGUAACGAACCAUAUAACUCAAAUACGCAUAAAACAACGUCGAACCUUAAGUGUGCAGACCCUGCGGGUUCGAGAACUAUGUAGACAUGACCCGAGAGACUCCUCGGUCAAUAUCCAAUAGCGGGACCUGGAUGCCCAUAUUGGAUCCUACAUAUUCUACGAAGAUCUUAUCGUUUGAACCUCAGUGCCAAGGAUUCAUAUAAUCCCGUAUGUCAUUCCCUUCGUCCUUCGGUAUGUAACUUGCCCGAGAUUCGAUCGUCAGUAUCCGCAUACCUAUUUCAAUCUCGUUUACCGGCAAGUCUCUUUACUCGUUCCGUAAUACAAGAUCCCGCAACUUACACUAAGUUACAUUGCUUGCAAGGCUUGUGUGUGUGAUGUUGUAUUACCGAGUGGGCCCCGAGAUACCUCUCCGUCACACGGAGUGACAAAUCCCAGUCUUGAUCCAUACUAACUCAACUAACACCUUCGGAGAUACCUGUAGAGCAUCUUUAUAGUCACCCAGUUACGUUGCGACGUUUGAUACACACAAAGCAUUCCUCCGGUGUCAGUGAGUUAUAUGAUCUCAUGGUCAUAGGAAUAAAUACUUGACACGCAGAAAACAGUAGCAACAAAAUGACACGAUCAACAUGCUACGUCUAUUAGUUUGGGUCUAGUCCAUCACGUGAUUCUCCCAAUGACGUGAUCCAGUUAUCAAGCAACAACACCUUGUUCAUAAUCAGAAGACACUGACUAUCUUUGAUAAACUGGCUAGCCAACUAGAGGCUUGCUAGGGACGGUGUUUUGUCUAUGUAUCCACACAUGUAAAUGAGUCUUCAUUCAAUACAAUUAUAGCAUGGAUAAUAAACGGUUAUCUUGAUACAGGAAUUAUAAUAAUAACUAUAUUUAUUAUUGCCUCUAGGGUGUAAUUCCAACAGGGAAACCUCUGUCGUUGCGACGCCGGUUGAGGAGGAAGUUAAUGAUGAUGAUCAUGAAACUCCGGUUCAAGUUUCUGUCGAACCACGCAGGUCGACGAGACCACGUGCUGCUCCAGAGUGGUACGGUAAUCCCGUCAUGUCAAUCACGUUGUCAGACAACAAUGAACCUGCAAAUUAUGAAAAGCAAUGGUGGGCCCAGAUUCCAACAAAUGGCUAGAAGCCAUGAAGUCCGAGAUAGGAUCCAUGUAUGAGAACAAAGUGUGGACUUUGGAAGUACUACCUGAGGGCCGCAAGGCUAUUCAGAACAAAUGGAUUUUUAAGAGGAAGACGGACGCUGACGGCAAUGUGACCGUUUAUAAAGCUCGACUUUUGGCAAAGGGUUUUUCACAAGUUCAAGGAGUUGACUACGAUGAGACAUUCUCACCCGUAGGGAUGCUUAAGUCCGUCAGAAUCAUGUUAGCAAUAGCUGCGUUUUUCGAUUAUGAAAUCUGGCAGAUGGAUGUCAAAACGGCGUUCCUUAACGGUUUCCUUAAGGAAGAAUUGUAUAUGAUGCAACCCAAAGGUUUUGUCGAUCCUAAGAAUGCUAACAAAGUGUGCAAGCUCCAGCGAACCAUUUAUGGACUGGUGCAAGCAUCUCGGAGUUGGAACAAACGCUUUGAUGAGGUGAUCAAAGCAUUUGGGUUUAUACAAGUGGUUGGAGAAUCUUGUAUUUACAAGAAAGUGAGUGGGAGCUCUGUGGCGUUUCUAAUAUUAUAUGUGGAUGACAUAUUGCUGAUUGGAAACAAUGUAGAGUUUUUGGAGAGCAUAAAGGAUUACUCGAAUAAAAGUUUCUCUAUGAAGGACCUAGGAGAAGCUGCUUACAUUCUAGGCAUUAAGAUCUACAGGGAUAGAUCAAAACGCCUGAUAGGACUUUCACAAAGCACAUACCUUGAUAAGGUUUUGAAGAGGUUCAAAAUGGAACAAUCCAAGAAAGGGUUCUUGCCAGUUUUACAAGGUACAAGAUUGAGUAAGACUCAGUGCCCAGCAACUGAUGAGGAUAGAGAGCAUAUGAGCACCGUCCCCUAUGCUUCAGCCAUAGGUUCUAUCAUGUAUGCAAUGUUGUGCACUAGACCGGACGUUAGCCUGGCCAUAAGUAUGGCAGGUUGGUUCCAGAGUAAUCCAGGAGUGGAUCAUUGGACGGCAGUCAAGAAUAUCCUGAAGUACCUGAAAAAGACUAAGGAGAUGUUUCUCGUGUAUGGAGGUGACGAAGAGCUCGCCGUAAAAGGUUACGUCGAUGCAAGCUUUGACACUGAUCCGGACGACUCUAAGUCGCAAACCGGAUACGUAUUUAUUCUUAAUGGGGGUGCGGUAAGCUGGUGCAGUUCCAAGCAGAGCAUCAUAGCAGAUUCUACAUGUGAAGUGGAGUACAUGGCUGCCUCGGAGGCGGCUAAGGAGGGUUUCUGGAUGAAGCAGUUCAUGACGGAUCUUGGAGUGGUGCCAAGCGCACUGAAUCCAAUAACCUUGUUCUGUGACAACACGGGUGCCAUUGCCCUAGCAAAGGAACCACGGUUUCACAAGAAGUCCAGACGCAUCAAACGACGCUUCAACCUCAUCCGCGACUACGUCGAAGGGGAGGACGUAAAUAUAUGCAAAGUGCACACGGAUCUGAAUGUAGCAGACCCGCUGACCAGACCUCUUCCACGGGCAAAGCAUGAUCAACACCAGAACUGUAUGGGUGUUAGAUUUAUUACAAUGUAAUUCACAUGAUGAUGUGAGGGCUAGAUUAUUGACUCUAGUGCAAGUGGGAGACUGUUGGAAUUAUGCCCUAGAGGCAAUAAUAAAUAUAGUUAUUAUUAUAAUUCCUGUAUCAAGAUAAUCGUUUAUUAUCUAUGCUAUAAUUCGAUUGAAUGAGGACUUAUAUACAUGUGUGGAUAUAUAGAUAAAACACUGUCCCUAGCAAGCCUCUAGUUGGCUAGCCAGUUGAUCAAAGAUAGUCAGUGUUCACCGGGGGGGGGGGGGGAACCCACCCCGGGGAAGCCCAUAGGCCUUGGGGGGGCGCACCAGCCCUUAGUGGGCAGGUGUGACAGCCCAAGAAGGCCCUAUGCGCCAUAGGAAUAAAAUCUAAGAGAAAAGGAAAAAAAAGAGGAGGGGGGAAAAGGGGGAAGGACUCCUCCUUCCAAACCUAGUUGGACUCGGUUUGGAAGGGGAGGGUUGCCCCCCUUGGCUCGGCCGACCCCCUUGGGAGUCCUUGGACCCCAAGGCAAGGCUUCCCCUCCUCCCCCUAUAUAUACGGAGGUUUUAGGGCUGAUUUGAGACAACUUUGCCACGGCAGCCCGACCACAUAUCUCCACGGUUUUUCCUCUAGAUCGCGUUUCUGCGGAGCUCGGGCGGAGCCCUGCUGAGAUAAGAUCAUCACCAACCUCCGGAGCGCCAUCACGCUGCCGAAGAACUCAUCUACCUCUCCGUCUCUCUUGUUGGAUCAAGAAGGCCGAGAUCAUCGUCGAGCUGUACGUGUGCUGAACGCGGAGGUGCCGUCCGUUCGGCAAUAGAUCGUGGGACUGAUCGCGGGACGGUUUGCGGGGCGGACCGAGGGACGUGAGGAUGUUCCACUACAUCAACCGCGUUUCUCAACGCUUCUGCUGUGCGGUCUACAAGGGUACGUAGAUCGAAUAUCCCCUCUCGUAGAUGGACAUCACCAUGAUAGGUCUUCGUGCGCGUAGGAAAUUUUUGUUUCCCAUGCGACGUUCCCCAACAACUAUGGUUAGUAUCGGGGGGUACUAGCCAUGGAAAAGUGAGAAUACAGUAGCCCAACACCAAUAUAGAUGGAAUUCAAGGUUGCUACAGUACCGAAAGAAGUGGUAGUUUGUUUUCUUGUGCUAAUGUUAUCACGAGUUUUUGUUUAAGUUUUGUGUUGUGAAUUUUUCAAGUUUUGGGUGAUGUUCUCAUGGACAAAGAGAUAAGGAGUGGAAAGAGCUCAAGUUUUGGGAUGCCCAAGGCAUCCCAAGCCAAAUGCAAGGACACCAAAAAGCCUAAGUUUGGGGAUGCUCCGGGAAGGCAUCCCCUCUUUCGUGUUCAAUCCAUCGGUAACAUUACUUGGAGCUAUAUUUUUAUUCACCACAUGAUAUGUCUUUUGCUUGGAGCGUCUUGUAUCUUAAGAGUCUUUUCUUUUUGUUGUGUCACAAUCAUCCUUGCUGCACACCUUUUUGAGAGAGAGAUACAUGCACUCAUCUUGAUUUUUGCUAGAAUGCUCAUAAUGCUUCACUUAUAUAUUUUGAGCUAGAUACUUUUGCUCUUAGUGCUUCACUUAUAUAUUUUGAGCUAGAUACUUUUGCUCUUUGUGCUUCACUUAUAUCUAUUAGAGCACGGCGGUGCGUGAUUUGGUAGUUGGCUUAUGCUAUGAAAGUAGUCCCAAAUGUGAUAGGUACCCAAAGAGGAUGCAAAAACCUCCAUCUUCAUGUGCAUUGAGUAGAAAGAGAAGUCUUGAUUCCUCUCAAUUAGUUUUGAGACGUGGAUUUGGUAAUAUUAAGAGCUAUGUUAGUAGGGUGUUCUGAAUCUAGAAAUACUAGUGUUGAAGUUAGUUAUUCCCGUAGCAUGCACGUAUGGUGAACCGCUAUGUUAGGAAGUCGGAGAAUAAUUGAUCUAUUGAUUGUUGAUACGUCUCAAACGUAUCUAUAAUUUUUGAUGGUUUCAUGUUAUUAUCUUGUCAUCUUUGGAUGUUUUAUGUACCUUUUAUAUCUUUUUUGGGGCUAACUUAUUAAUUCAGUGCCAAGUGUCAGUUCCUGUUUUUUCUGUGUUUUUGGCUCUUUUCAGAUCUGAUUUUGGAACGGAGUCCAAACGGAAUAAAAUCCCCGAAAUGAUUUUUUCCCGAACGGAAGAAGAUCAGGGGGCUUGUGGGCCUAGCCCGGAGGGCUACAUGGAGCCCACAAGCCCCCCAUCCGCCACCAGGGGGCGGCGGUGGGCAGGCUUGUGGCCUCCCUGGCGCCCCCUGACCUAGAUCCUGCGCCUAUAUAUUCCCUAAAAUACAGAAAAAAAAUCAAGGGAUCCACGAAAAUACUUUUCCGCCACCGCAAGCUUCCGUUUCCGCGAGAUCUCAUGUGGAGACCCUUCCCGGUGCCCUGCCGGAGGGGACUUUGGAGUUGGAGGGCUUCUUCAUCAACAUCAUUGCCCCUCCAAUGACUCGUGAGUAGUUCACUUCAAACCUACGGGUCCGUAGUUAGUAGCUAGAUGGCUUCUUCUCUCUCUUGGAUCUUCAAUACAAAGUUCUCCAUGAUCUUCAUGGAGAUCUAUCCGAUGUAACCUUCUUUGGCGGUGUGUUUGUCGAGAUCCGAUGAAUUGUGGAUUUGUGAUCAGAUUAACUAUGAUAUAUAUUUGAGUCUUUGCUGAUUUCUUAUAUGCAUGAUUUGAUAUCCUUGUAAGUUUCUCCGAGUCUUGGGUUUUGUCUGGCCAACUAGAUCUAUGAUUCUUGCAAUGGGAGAAGUGCUUGGUUUUGGGUUCUUACCGUGUGGUGACCUUUCCCAGUGACAGUAGGGGUAGCAAGGCACACAUUGAGUAGUUGCCAUCAAGGGUAACAAGGCAGGCUCUGUCGUAGAUAUGAGAUUGUCCAUCUACAUCAUGUCAUCUUGCUUAAGGCGUAACUCUGUUCUUUUGGACUUAAUACACUAGAUGCAUGCUGGAUAGCGGUCGACGUGUGGAGUAAUAGUAGUAGAUGGAGAAAGUAUUGGUCUACUUGUUUUGGAAGUGAUGCCUAUAGAUAUAAUCAUUGCCGUAGAUGACGUCACGACUUUGGGCAGUUCUAUCAAUUGCUCGACAGUAAUUUGUUCAACCACCGUCUACUUGCUUUCAUGAGAGAAGCCACUAGUAAACACUACGGCCCCCGGGUCUAUUCACACCUAUCGUUUCCACUUUUGCUUUUACUUUGCUUUGUUACUUUGUUGCUUUCAGUUCUCACUUGGCAAAGAAUCUAUAAGGGAUUGACAACCCCUUCAUAGCGUUGGGAGCAAGUUUUUGUCUUUGUGCAGGCACUUGUGAUACUCCUUCACUGGAUCGAUACCUUCGUUCUCAAACUAAGGGAAAUACUUACCACCGCUGCGCUACAUCACCCUUUCCGCUUCGAGGGAACACCAACGCAAGGCUCCAAGGCCACGAGGGAAAUCCUUUGCAUAUUUGCCUAGAAGUCCCUUAAGGCGUAGCCGUAGCAGAAGGAUUCCUGGUGCCGUCAACACACCUAUUUCUGGCGCCGUUGGAAGGUCUUUUGUUGCAGUAGCAGAAGUAUUUCUGGCGCCGUUGCCGGGGAAGGAGAGAUCUAUCCAAGUAGGUCUCACAAACUCAUCUCCUACAUUUACUUUUUUGCCAGUUGCCUCUCGUUUUCGUCUCCCCCACUUCACAUUUGCCGUUUUCAUUUGCCUUUUGCCUUUCUCCUUUGCCUUUUUCGUUUGCCUUUCCUUUACUUGUGUGCUAUGUGCCCUCAAUAUGCUUGCAUCUUCGCUUGCUGAAAAUCUAGUGAUAUGGAUCCUCAUUCACUUGCUAAUCUCUUUAAGAGAUCCAAUUAUGUUGAUCCAAUUGCUAGUAAGUUGAGGGCACUUGACUAUUUUUAUGGAGUUUUGCUUGAGAUGCAUGAAUCUGAAAAUCGUGAUGAAGAAAUUCAUGAAGUGAUUCACGAGGGCUCCUUGGAUGAAAAGCAUGAUUGCAAUGAUUUCACUAUAAAUCCUAUUAGUGACAAUCAUGCUAAAAAUAUGCAAAACCCUAAGCUUGGGGAUGCUAGUUUUGCUAAGACCACUACUUAUUGCAAUAAUCAUGAUUGGGGUGAUGAUUUUUCUUAUGAUCUUGAAAAGCCUCAUGAUGAAUAUGAUAUUUGCAAUAAUAUUGAAAGUGGGUUUGGAGAAGUCAUGACUUUAGUUGAUGAUAAUCUCACUAUUUUUGAAGAGCGUCAACUUUGCAUGCAUGUGGAUCAUGAAAAGAAUAUACUUUGUGAUAGCUAUAUUGUUGAAUUUGAUUAUGAUCCCACAUGUAAUUGCUAUGAGAGAGGAUCAUAUGCUUCUACUUAUUGCAAUAGUAUCAAGCUUCCUCUCCAUGUGUUGAAAUUUUUGAAGCGAUGCUUGUUUUGCCUUCCUAUGCUAGUUGUUUCUUGUUCCAACAAGUUGUUUGUUUACAAAAUUCCUAUGCAUAGGAAGUGGGUUAGACUUAAAUGUGCUAGCCAUAUUCUCCAUGAUGCUCUCAUUGUGUUUCAAUCCUUGUCUUUUGUGAGAGCAUCAUUCAAUGCCUAGCUAAGGGCGUUAAACAAUGGCGCUUGUUGGGAGGCAACCCAACGAAUCUAUCCUUUUUAUUUCUGUUUUGUGUUUUCUAUACUUUCAUAAUUCUGUUAUGAUUGUGUUUUUUGUGUUUCUUUUUGCGUUUGUGCCAAGCAAAACCAUUAUGAUUAGUCUUGGGGAUGAUCGUUUGGUCAUGCUGGAAAAGACAGAAACCUUCUGUUCACGAAAAGAAUUUACAUUUUUUUUCUGUAAGAGCUUUUGAGUUGAUUAUUUUUAUGCUGAUUGCUAUGCAAAUUAUUCAGACUGUCGUAAUUUUUCAGAAAUUGUGAAGUACCAGAAGUAUACUAAAUAUACAGAUUGCUACAGAGUGGUAUGCUGUUAACAGAUUCUGUUUUUGUAGUGUUGGUUGCUUAUUUUGAUGAAACUAUGGAUAGUAUCGGGGGUAUUAGCCAUGGAAGAUUGAAAAUACAGUAACCCAACAUCAGCAUAAGUAGAAUUUAAGUUUUCUACAGUAUCUAAGGAAGUGGUGGUUUGCUUUCUCAUACUAAUGUUAUCACGAGUUUCUGUUUAAGUUUCGUGUUGUGAAGUUUUCAAGUUUUGGGUGAAGUUCUAUGGACAAAGAGAUAAAGAGUGGCAGGAGCUCAAGCUUGGGGAUGCCCAAGGCACCCCAAGAUAUUCAAGGAUGCCGUAAAAGCUUAAGCUUGGGGAUGCCCCGGGAAGGCAUCCCCUCUCUCGUCUUCAAUCCAUCGGUAACGUUACUUGGGGCUAUAUUUUUAUUCACCACAUGUUAUGUGUUUUUGCUUGGAGCGUCUUGUAUCGUAGGAGUCUUUUAUUUUUUGUUGUGUCACAAUUAUCCUUGCUGCACACCUAGAGAGAGAUACAUGCACUCACCAUGAUUUUGUCGAGCUUCACUUAUAUCUUUUGGUAGACAAUUCAGCUCACAUGUGCUUCACUUAUAUAUGUUGAGCUAGAUACUUUUGCUCUAUGUGCUUCACUUAUAUCUUUUAGAGCACAGCGGUGCGUGGCUUGGUAGUUGAUCUAUGCUUUGAAAGUAAUCUCAAAAGGGGUAGUUAUCCAAAGGGAUACGAAAACUUCCACCUUCAUGUGCAUUGAAUAGUUAGAGAAGUUUGAUUCAUCUUAAUUAGUUUUGAGUUGUGGUUUUGGUAAUAUUGAAGUCAUGCUAGUAAGGUGUCGUGGAUCUAGAAAUACUUGUGUUGAAGUUAGCAUGCACGUAUGGUGAACCGCUAUGUGAUGAAGUCUGAGCAUGAUUAGUCUUUUGAUUGUCAUCCUUUGCGUGGCGGUCGGGAUCGCGCGAUGGUUUAUACCUACCAACCCUUCCCCUAGGAGUAUGCGUUGAAUGCUUUGUUUCGAUUACUAAUAAAACUUUUGCAACAAGUAUAUGAGUUCUUCAUGACUAAUGUUGAGUCCAUGGUUUAGAUGCACUUUCACCUUCCACCAUCACUAUCUUCUUAGUGCCGUGCAACUUUCGCCGGUGCACAAAACCCACCAUUAGCCUCCCUCAAAACACCCACCAUACCUACCUACUAUGGCUUUUUCAAAGUCAUUCCGAGAUAUAUUGCCAUGCAACUACCACCAUGACAUGUGCCACCACAUCUACAUUGCCAUUGCAUGAUCGUAAGAUAGCUAGCAUGAUGUUUCCAUUAAUGUCUAUGCCAUGCUAGAUCAUUGUCACGGUAGACUACCGAAGGCAUUCCAUAUAGAGUCAUCGUUGCUCUAAGUUUUGAGUUGAAAGUGUGAUGAUCAUCAUUGAUGGAGCAUUGUCCCAUGUGAGGAAAUAAAAGAGGCCAAAGAUGCCCACACAAAAAAAGAGGCCAAAGAGCCCACCAAAUAAAAAAAAUGAGAGAACAAGAGAGAAGGGACAAUGCUACCACUUUUCCACACUUGUGCAUAUUAAGCACCAUGAUCUUCAUGAUUGAGAGUCUCUCGUUUUGUCACCACCAUAUAGCUAGUGGGAAAUUUUCAUUAUAUAACUUGGCUUGUAUAUUCCAAUGAUAGGCUCCCUCAAAAUUGCCUUAGGUCUUCGUGAGCAAGCAAGUUGGAUGCACACCCACUAGUUUUCUUUAAGAGCUUUCACAUACUCUUAGCUCUAGUGCAUCAUUUGUAUGGCAAUCCCUACUCAUUCACAUUGAUAUCUAUUGAUGAGCAUCUCCACAGCUCAUUGAUAUGCCUAGUUAAUGUGACUAUCUUCUCCUUUUUUUGUCUUGCAACCUCCACCACACUCCACACCACUUAUAGUGCUAAAACCAUGGCUCACGCUCAUGUAUUGCGUGAGAGUUGAAAAAGGUUUUGAGAAAGUAAAGGUGUGAAACAAUUACUUGGCCAAUACCGGGGUUGUGCAUGAUUUAAAUUCGUUGUGCAAUGAUGAUAGGGCAUAGCCAGACUAUAUGCUUUUGUAGGGAUAACUUUCUUUUGGCCUUGUUAUUUUGAAAGUUCAUGAUUACCUUGCUAGUUUGCUUGAAUUAUUAUUGUUUCCACGUCAAUAGCAAAAUAUUGUUUUGAAUCUAAUGGAUCUGAACAUUCACGUCACAUAAGAGGAGUUACAAAGGACAUCUAUGCUAGGUAGCAUGAAAGCAUCAAAAAUUCAUUCUUUAUCACUUCCCUACUCGAGGACGAGCAAGAGUUAAGCUUGGGGAUGCUUGAUACGUCUCAAACGUAUCUAUAAUUUUUGAUGGCUUCAUGCUGUUAUCUUGUCAUCUUUGGAUGUUUUAUGUACCUUUUAUAUCUUUUUUGGGACUAACUUAUUAAUUCAGUGCCAAGUGCCAGUUCCUGUUUUUUCUGUGUUUUUGGCUCUUUUCAGAUCUGAUUUUGGAACGGAGUCCAAACGGAAUAAAAUCCCCGAAAUGAUUUUUUCCCGAACGGAAGAAGAUCAGGGGGCUGGUGGGCCAAGCCAAGAGGGCUACAGGGAGCCCAGAAGCCCCCCAUCCACCACUAGGGGGGCGGCGGUGGGCAGGCUUGUGGCCUCCCUGGCGCCCCCUGGCCUAGAUCCUACACCUAUAUAUUCCCUAAAAUACAGAAAAAAAAUCAAGGGAUCCACGAAAAUGCUUUUCCGCCGCCGCAAGUUUCCGUUUCCGCGAGAUCUCAUCUGGAGACCCUUCCCGGUGCCCUGCCGGAGGGGACUUUGGAGUUGGAGGGCGUCUUCAUCAAUAUCAUUUCCCCUCCAAUGACUCGUGAGUAGUUCACUUCAGACCUACGGGUCCGUAGUUAGUAGCUAGAUGGCUUCUUCUCUCUCUUGGAUCUUCAAUACAAAGUUCUCCAUGAUCUUCAUGGAGAUCUAUCCGAUGUAAUCUUCUUUGGCUGUGUGUUUGUCGAGAUCCGAUGAAUUGUGGAUUUGUGAUCAGAUUAACUAUGAUAUAUAUUUGAGUCUUUGCUGAUUUCUUAUAUGCAUGAUUUGAUAUCCUUGUAAGUCUCUCCGAGUCUUGGGUUUUGUCUCGCCAACUAGAUCUAUGAUUCUUGCAAUGGGAGAAGUGCUUGGUUUUGGGUUCUUACCGUGGGGUGACCUUUCCCAGUGACAGUAGGGGCAGCAAGGCACACAUUGAGUAGUUGCCAUCAAGGGUAACAAGGUGGGCUCUGUCGUAGAUAUGAGAUUGUCCAUCUACAUCAUGUCAUCUUGCUUAAGGCGUUACUCUGUUCUUUUGGACUUAAUACACUAGAUGCAUGCUGGAUAGCGGUCGACGUGUGGAGUAAUAGUUGUAGAUGCAGAAAGUAUCGGUCUACUUGUUUUGGACGUGAUGCCUAUAGAUAUAAUCAUUGCCAUAGAUGACAUCACGACUUUGCGCAGUUCUAUCAAUUGCUCGAUAGUAAUUUGUUCACCCACCGUCUACUUGCUUUCACGAGAGAAGCCACUAGUAAACACUACGGCCCCCGGGUCUAUUCACACCUAUCCUUUCCACUUUCACUUUUACUUUGCUUUGUUACUUUGUUGCUUUCAGUUCUCACUUGGCAAACAAUCUAUAAGGGAUUAACAACCCCUUCAUAGCGUUGGGAGCAAUUUUUUGUGUUUGUGCAGGCACUUGUGAUACUCCUUCACUAGAUCGAUACCUUCAUUCUCAAACUGAGGGAAAUACUUACCGCCGCUGCGCUACAUCACCCUUUCCACUUCGAGGGAACACCAACGCAAGGCUCCAUGGCCAUGGGGGAAAUCCUUUGCAUAUUUGCGUAGGAAGUCCCUUAAGGCGUAGCCGUAGCAGAAGGAUUCCUGGUGCCGUCAACACACCUAUUUCUGGCGCCGUUGGAAGGUCUUUUGUUGCAGUAGCAAUUGUCAUCCUUUGUGUUGAGGUCGGGAUCGCGCGAUGGUUAACACCUACCAACCCUUCCCCUAGGAGUAUGCGUUUAGCACUUUGUUUCAAUUACUAAUAAAAACUUUCGCAACAAGUAUGUGAGUUCUUCAUGACUAAUGUGAGUCCAUGGUAUAGAUGCACUUUCACCUUCCACCAUUGCUAGCCUCUCUAGUGCCGCACAAUUCUCGCCGGUGCACAAACCCACCAUAUGCCUUCCUUAAAACAGCCACCAUACCUACCUACUAUGGCAUUUUCAUAGCCAUUCCGAGAUAUAUUGCCAUGCAACUCCCACCGUUCCGUCUCAUGACUUGUGCCGUCACUCUCAUAUUGCCAUUGCAUGAUCAUAAGAUAGCUAGCGAGAUGUUUCAACGUCAUACGCCAUGCUAGAUCGUUGCACAUCCCGGUACACUGUCGGAGGCAUUUCUUAUAGAGUCAUCAUCAUUUUGAGCUGUGAGUAAAUAAAAGUGUGAUGAUCAUCAUUAUUAGAGCAUUGUUCCAUGUGAGGAAAUACAAAAAAGAGGCCAAAGAGCCCAAAAAUAAAUAAAUANNNNNNNNNNNNNNNNNNNNNNNNNNNNNNNNNNNNNNNNNNNNNNNNNNNNNAGAGAAAAAGAGAGAAGGGACAAUGCUACUAUCUUUUUCCACACGUGUGCUUCAUAAUAGCACCAUGUUCUUCAUGAUUGAGAGCUUCUUGCUUUGUCACUACCAUAUGCUAGUGGGAAUCUUCAUUAUAUAACUUGGCUUGUAUAUUCCAAUGAUGGGCUUCCUCAAAAUUGCCCUAGGUCUUCGUGAGCAAGCAAGUUGGAUGCACACUCACUAGUUUUCCUUUUGAGCUUUCACAUACUUAUAGCUCUAGUGCAUCUAUUGUAUGGCAAUCCCUACUCAUUCACAUUGAUAUCUAUUAAUGGGCAUAUCCAUAGCCUUUUGAUACGUCGAGUCAAUGUGACCAUCUCCUCCUUUUUGUCUCACAACCACCACCACACUCUAUUCCACUUAUAGUGCUAUAUCCAUGGCUCACGCUCAUGUAUUGCGUGAUAGUUAUAAAUUUUUUGAGAAAGUAAGAGUGCGAAAACAAUUACUUGGCCAAUACCGGGGUUGUGCAUGAUUUACAUUAGUUGUGUGAGGAUGAUGGAGCAUAGCCAGACUAUAUCAUUUUGUAGUGAUCUGAACAUUCAUGUCACGUGAAAGAAGUUGCAAAGGACAACUAUGCUAGGUAGCAUUCCACAUCAAAAAUUCAUUCUUUAUCACUUCCCUACUCGAGGACGAGCAAGAGUUAAGCUUGGGGAUGCUUGAUACGUCUCCAAUGUAUCUAUAAUUUUUGAUGGUUUCAUGACAUUAUCUUGUCAGACUUUGGAUGUUUUGCAUGCCUUUUAUAUAUUUUUUGGGACUAACUUAUUAACUCAGUGCCAAGUGCGAGUUCCUGUUUUUUUCAUGUUUUUGACCCCUUUCAGAGGAGAUUUUGAAACGGAGUCCAAACGGAAUAAAAUCCCCGAAAAGAAUUUUUCCGUAACGGAAGAAGAUCAGGAGACUUGAGAGCCAAGGCAGGGGGCCCAAGGGCCCCACAAGCCCUCACCCCGCGGCCAGGGGGAGGCUGCGGCCCACAGGCUUGUGGGCCCCCUGGACGCCCUCUGCCCUAGGGGUUGCGCCUAUAUAUUCCCUAAAAAUCCCAAAAAAAUCAGGAGAUCAUCGAAAGUACUUUUCCGCCGCCGCAAGCUUCUGUCUCCGCAAGAUCCCAUCUGGGGCACGUUCUGGUGCCCUGCCGGAGGGGGGAUUCGGACACGGAGGGCUUCUUCAUCAACACCAUGACCUCUCCGGUGAUGCGUGAGUAGUUCACCAUAGACCUAAGGGUCCAUAGCUAGUAGCUAGAUGGCUUCUUCUCUCUCUUGGAUCUUCAAUACAAAGUUCUCCAUGAUCUUCAUGGAGAUCUAUCCGAUGUAAUCUUAUUUUGCGGUGUGUUUGUCGAGAUCCGAUGAAUUGUGGAUUUAUGAUCAGAUUAUCUAUGAAUCUUAUUUGAGUUUCUUCUGAUCUCUCUUAUGCAUGAUUUCAUAUCCUUGUAAUUUUCUUCGAGUUGUGGGUUUUGUCUGACCAACUAGAUCUAUGAUUCUUGCAAUGGGAGAAGUGCUUGGUUUUGGGUUCAUACCGUGCGGUGACCUCACCGAGUGACAGAAGGGGUAGAGGGGCACGCAUCGUGUUGUUGCCAUCAUGUCAUCUUGCUUAAGGCGUUACUCUGUUCGUCAUGAACUCAAUACACUAGAUGCAUGCUGGAUAGCGGUCGAUGUGUGGAGUAAUAGUAGUAGAUGCAGAAAGUAUCGGUCUACUUUUCUCGGACGUGAUGCCUAUAUGUAUGAUCAUUGCCUUAGAUAUCGUCAUGACUUUGCGCGGUUCUAUCAAUUCCUCGAUAGUAAUUUGUUCACCCACCGUGAUAUUUGCUAUUUUGAGAGAAGCCUCUAGUGAACACUAUGGCCCCCGGGUCUACUCCACACCAUAUUUUCAGCCUUACACUUUUUACUUCGUUGCACUUUCCGCCUUCAGAUCUCACUUUGCAAACAAUCUUGAAGGGAUUGACAACCCCUUUUAAGCGUUGGGUGCAAGCUUGUUUGUGUUUGCGCACGUACUCUGGACUUGACGAGACCCUCCUUAUGGAUCGAUACCUUGGUUCUCAAACUGAGGGAAAUACUUACUGCUCCUGUGUUGCAUCACCCUUUCCUCUUCAAGGGAAAAACCAACGCAAGUCCAGUGUCCGUCAACGUGUCAAUUUCUGGCGCUGUUGUCUGUUGCCGUAGCAGUUGUUCUAUUUAUAUGAGUGAUAUUUUUAUGGUCAUGCUCCGCUGGUGAAUGGUUUAUUCUUGAUGAAUCUCGAUCGUGAUGUUACACAUAUUCAUAGUGUGAGUACCAAAAGAUGUAAAGUUGAUAAUGAUAGUCCCACAUACUUGUGGCACUGCCGCCUUGGUCAUAUCGGUGUUAAGCGCAUGAAGAAGCUCCAUACCGAUGGACUAUUAGAGUCUCUUGACUUUGAAUCAUUUGACACGUGCGAACCGUGCCUCAUGGGCAAGAUGAGUAAGACUCCAUUCUCAGGAAUAACGGAGAGAGCGACCGAUUUAUUGGAAAUAAUACAUACUGAUGUGUGUGGUCCAAUGAACGUUGAAGCUCGCGGUGGCUACCGUUAUGUUCUCACUCUCACCGAUGAUUUGAGUAGGUAUGGGUAUAUCUACUUGAUGAAGCACAAAUCUGAGACGUUUGAAAAGUUCAAGGAAUUUUAGAGUGAGGUUGAGAAUCAACGUAACAGAAAAAUUAAGUGUCUACGAUCUGAUCGUGGAGGAGAAUAUUUGAGUCACGAGUUUGGCACACACUAAGGAAGUGUGGAAUCGUUUCACAACUGAUGCCGACUGGCACACCGCAACGCAACGGAGUGUGUGAACGUCGUAAUCGCACUUUAUUAGAUAUGGUACGAUCUAUGAUGUCUCUUACCGACUUACCGCUAUCAUUUUAGGGAUACACAUUAGAAACUGCAGCAUUCACUUUAAAUAGGGCACCGUCUAAAUCCGUUGAGACGACACCAUAUGAACUGUGAUUUGGCAAGAAACCCAAGUUGUCGUUUCUUAAAGUUUGGGGUUGCGAUGCUUAUGUGAAUAAACUUCAACCAGAGAAGCUCGAACCCAAAGCGGAGAAAUGCGUAUUCAUAGGAUAACCUAAGGAAACUAUUGGGUAUACCUUAUACCUUAGAUCUGAAGGUAAAACCUUUGUUGCCAAGAACGGAUCCUUUCUAGAGAAAGAGUUUCUCUCGAAAGAAGUAAGUGGGGGAAAGUAGAACUUGAUGAGGUAAUUACACCCCCUCUCGAACCAGAAAGUAGCGCAGCGCGGGAAAUUGUUCCUGUGGCACCUACGCCAACUGAAGAGGAAGUUAAUGAUAAUGAUCAUGAAGCUUCAGAUCAAGUUGCUACUGAACCACAAAGGUCCACAAGGUUACGAUCCGCACCAGAGUGGUACGGCAACCCUGUGAUGGAAAUCAUGUUGUUAGACAACGGUGAACCUUCGAACUAUGAAGAAGCAAUGGUGGGCCCGUAUUCCAACAAAUGGCUUGAGGCUAUGAAAUCCGAGAUAUGAUCCAUGUAUGAGAACAAAGUAUGGACUUUGGUGGACUUGCCCGAUGAUCAGCGAGCCAUAGAAAAUAAAUCGAUCUUCAAGAAGAAGACUGAUGCAAACGGUAAUGUGACAGUUUAUAAAGCUCGACUUGUCACAAAGGGUUUUUGACAAAUUCAAGGAGUUGACUACGAAGAGACUUUCUCUCCCGUAGCGAAGCUGUAGUCAGUCCGAAUCAUGUUAGCAAUUGCCGCUUUUUAUGAUUAUGAAAUUUGGCAAAUGGACGUCAAAAUAGCGUUCCUUAACGGGAAUCUUAAGGAAGAAUUGUAUAUGAUGCAACCAGAAGGUUUUGUCGACCCUAAGGGUGCUAACAAAGUGUGCAAGAUCCAUCGCUCCAUCUAUGGGCUGGUGCAAGCAUCUCGGAGUUGGAACAUUUGCUUUAAUGAGGUGAUUAAAACGUUUGGGUUCAUACAGGUUUAUGGAGAAUCCUGUCUGUACAAGAAAGUGAGUGGGAGCUUUGUAGCUUUCCUCAUAUUGUAUGUGGAUGACAUAUUAUUGAUGGGGAAUAACAUAGAGUUGUUGGAGAGCAUAAAGGCCUAUUUGAACAAGAGUUUUUCAAUGAAGGACCUUGGAGAAGCUGCAUACAUAUCAGGCAUCAAGAUCUAUAGAGAUAGAUCGAGACGCCUCAUAGGUCUUUCGCAAAGUAUAUACCUUGACAAGAUAUUGAAGAAGUUCAAUAUGGAAAACUCAAAGAAGGGGUUCUUGCCAGUUUUACAAGGUAUGAGAUUGAGUAAGACUAAGUCGCCGACCACGGCAGCAGACACAGAGAAGAUGAGUAUUGUCCUCUACGCUUCAGCCGUAGGCUCUCUAAUGUAUGCCAUGCUGUGUACCAGACCCGAUAUAAACCUUGCCAUAAGUUUGGUAGGGAGGUACCAAAGUGAUCCCGGUAUGGAACACUGGACAUCGGUCAAGAAUAUCCUUAAGUACUUGAAGAGGACUAAGGAGAUGUUUCUCGUUUAUGGAGGUGACGAAGAGCUCGUCAUAAAGGAUUACGUCGAUGCUAGCUUCGACACAGAUCCGGAUGACUCUAAGUCACAGACCGGAUACAUGUAUGUUUUGAAUGGUGGGGCAGUGAGCUGGUGCAGUAGCAAGCAAGAAGUCGUGGCAGCAUCUACAUGUGAAGUGGAGUACAUAGCUUCUUCAGAAGCGGCUCAUGAAGGAAUUUGGAUGAAGGAGCUCAUCACCGACCUUGGAGUGGUCCCAAGCGCGUCGAGUCCGAUGACACUCUUCUGUGAUAACACUGGGGCCAUUGCCAUAGCCAAGGAGCCCAGGUUUCACCAGAAGACCAAGCACAUCAAACGCCGCUACAACUCCAUCCAGGACCAUGUCCAGAGUGGAGUAAUAGAUAUUUGUAAAGUGCACACGGAUCUCAAUAUUGCAAACCCGUUGACUAAACCUAUUCCUCGAGCAAAACAUGAUCAACACCAUAAUGCUAUGGGUGUUCGAUACAUCACAAUGUAACUAGAUUAUUGACUCUAGUGCAAGUGGGAGACUGUUGGAAAUAUGCCCUAGAGGCAAUAAUAAAAUGGUUAUUAUCAUAUUUCCUUGUUCAUGAUAAUCGUCUAUUGUUCAUGCUAUAAUUGUAUUAACAGGAAACAGUAAUACAUGUGUGAAUAAAUAGAUCACAAUGUGUACCUAGCAAGCCUCUAGUUGGCUAGCUCGCGAAUCAAUAGAUGAUCAUGGUUUCCUGAUCAUGGACAUUAGAUGUCAUUGUUAACGGGAUCACAUCAUUGGGAGAAUGAUGUGAUGGACAAGACCCAAUCCUAAGCAUAGCACUAGAUCGUAUUGUUCGUAUGCUAAAGCUUUUCUAAUGUCAAGUGUAUUUUCCUUCGACCGUGAGAUUGUGCAACUCCCAGAUACCGUAUGAGUGCUCUGGGUGUAUCAAACGUCACAACGUAACUGGGUGACUAUAAAGGUGCACUACGGGUACCUCUGAAAGUGUCUGUUGAGUUGGUACGAAUUGAGAUCGGGAUUUGUCACUCCGUGUGACGGAGAGGUAUCUCUGGGCCCACUCGGUAGAACAUCAUCAUGAGCUCAAUGUGACUAAGGAUUUAGUCACAGGAUGACGUGCUACGGAACGAGUAAAGAGACUUACCGGUAACGAGAUUGAACAAGGUAUAGGCAUACCGACGAUCGAAUCUCGGGCAAGUUCUAUACCGACAAACAAAGGGAAUUGUAUACGGGAUUGAUUGAAUCCUUGACAUCGUGGUUCAUCCGAUGAGAUCAUCGUGGAACAUGUGGGAGCCACCAUGGGUAUCCAGACCCCGCUGAUGGUUAUUGGCCGGAGAGUGUCUCGGUCAUCUCUGCAUGCCUCCCGAACCCGUAGGGUCUACACACUUAAGGUUCGAUGACCCUAGGGUUAUAGGGAAUUGUUAUACGAGGUUACCGAAGGAUGUUCGGAGUCCCGGAUGAGAUCCCGGACGUCACGAGGAGAUCUGGAAUGGUCCGGAGGUAAAGAUUGAUAUAUAGGAUGGAUGGGUUUGGACGCCGGAAAUGUUUCGGGCACCACCGACAAAGUGCGGGGACCACCGGAAGGGUUCGGGAGGCCCACCGGGAGGGGCCACAAGCCCCGAAGGGCUACGUGGGCCAAGUGCGGGAGGGAACCAGCCCCUAGGUGGGCUGGUGUGCCCCGCCACACCCAGCCCAUGCACAACCAAGAGGGAGGGAGGGGAAACCCUAGGCGCUGAUGGGCCUAAGGCCCACCCCCCCCCCCCCCCCCUCUCCCUGCCCUGGCCGCCGCACCUCCCAUCUGGGGGGGCUGCCGCACCGCCUAGGGUGGGAACCCUAGGGGUGGCACACCCCCUCCCCUCCUCCUAUAUAUAGAGAGGGUUUUGGGGCUGUUUUACACACAAUUUUCCCUCUCCCUCGGCGCAGCCCUGCUCCCCUCCUUCCUCCUCUCCCAUGGUGCUUGGCGAAGCCCUGCCGGGAGACCUAGUUUCUCCAUCGACACCACGCCGUCGUGUUGCCGGAGAUCUUCCCCAACCUCUCCCUCCUCCUUGCUGGAUCAAGGUGCGGGAGACGUCACCGGGCUGCACGUGUGUUGAACGCGGAGGUGUCGUGGUUCGGCACUAGAUCAGAAUCACACCGCGAUCUGAAUCGCCUCGAGCACGACUCCAUCAACUGCGUUCUAGCAACGCUUCCGCUUAGCGAUAUUCAAAGGUAUGAAGAUGCACUCACCCCUCUCUCGUUGCUGGUCUCUCCAUAGGAAGAUCUGAAUAUGGCGUAGGAAAAUUUUGAAUUUAUGCUACGUUACCCAAUAUGAAAGACCUAGGAGAAGCUGUUACAUAUUAGGCAUUAAGAUCUAUAGAGAUAGAUCGAGGCGCCUGAUAGGACUUUCACAAAGCACAUACCUUGAUAAAGUUUUGAAAAAAUUCAAAAAUGGAACAAUCCAAGAAGGGGUUCUUGCGUGUGUUACAAGGUAUAAAGUUGAGUAAGACUCGGUGUCCAGUAACUGCAAAAGAUAGAGAAAAGAUGAGUGUCGUCCCCUAUGCUUCAGCCAUAGGGUUUAUCAUGUAUGCAAUGAUGUGCACAAGACCGGACGUCAGCCUGGCCAUAGGCAUGGCAGGCAGGUUUCAAAGUGAUCCAGGAGUGGAACACUGGGCGGCGGUCAAGAAUAUUCUGAAGUACGUGAAAAGGAAGGAAAUGUUUCUCGUUUAUGGAGGUGACGAAGAGCUCGUCGUAAAGGGUUACGUCGAUGCAAGCUUUGACACUGAUCCGGAUGACUCUAAGUCACAAAACGGAUACGUAUUUAUUCUCAAUGGGGGUGCGGUAAGCUGGUGCAGUUCCAAGCAAAGCGUCGUAGCAGAUUCUACAUGCGAAGCGGAGUACAUGGCUGCCUCGGAGGCGGCUAAGGAGGGUGUCUGGAUGAAGAAGUUCAUGACGGAUCUUGGAGUUGUGCCAAGCGCACUAAACCCAAUAACUCUGUUAUGUGACAACACUGGUGCCAUUGCUCUGGCCAAGGAACCAAGGUUUCACAAGAGGACCAGACACAUCAAAUGACGCUUCAACCUCAUCCGCGACUAUGUCGAAGGAGAGGACGUAAAUAUUUGCAAAGUGCACAUGGAUCUGAAUAUUGCAGAUCCGCUGACUAAAUCUCUUCCUCGAGCGAAGCAUGAUGAAUACCAGAAUUGUAUGGGUGUUAGAUUAAUUUCAAUGUAAAUCACAUAGCGAUGUGAGACUAGAUUAUUGACUCUAGUGCAAGUGGGAGACUGUAGGAAAUAUGCCCUAGAGGCAAUAAUAAAAUAGUUAUUAUUAUAUUUCCUGUUUCAAGAUAAUCGUUUAUUAUCCAUGCAAUAAUUGUAUUGAAUGGAAACAUAAAUGCAUGUGUGUGUAUAGACAAAACUUUGUCCCUAGUAAGCCUCUAGUUGACUAGCCCAUUGAUCAAGGAUGGUUAAGGUUUCCUAAUCAUAGACAAGUGUUGUCACUUGAUGACGAGAUCACAUCAUUGGGAGAAUGAUGUGAUGGACAGGACCCAAACUAUAAACGUAGCAUGUGAUCGUGUCAUUUUGUUGUUAUGGUUUUUUGCAUGUCAAGUAUUCAUUCCUAUGACCAUGAGAUCAUGUAACUCACUGACACCGGAGGAAUGCCUUGUGUGUAUCAAACAUCGCAACGUUACUGGGUGACUAUAAAGGUACUCUACAGGCAUCUCCAAAGAUGUCCGUUGAGUUAGCAUGGAUCAAGACUGGGAUUUGUCACUCCGUAUGACGGAGAGGUAUCUCGAGGCCCACUCGGUAAUACAACAUCACAUACAAGCCUUGCAAGCAAUGUGACUAAAGAGUUAGUCAUGGGAUCUUGUAUUACAGAACGAGUAAAGAGACUUGUCGGUAACGAGAUUGAAAUAGGUAAGCUGGAGGGGAGUGUCAACGCUUCAUCGGUAGCACCGGCGCAGAUGAACUAUGGGUCAAUUCUUUCAGAUGGCUUAAAAAAUAAACUGUCUCUCUCCGGCUUAAAAAAUAAAUUGUCCCUCAAAUUUGUUGAGAUUUAUGGCAUAAUUUAUUUAGAAGCUCCAAUGAAUAAGAGAUGCGGCUUAUGAGAAAAGCUCGUCCCAGCAGCAACAUUUCUUCAUGCUACACAAGGAUGACAACAGUACUCCCGCCCAUGAUCACCGAUUCCUCCAACUACUACCUGAGCCCCUGAACUACAAACACUGUACAACUAACACUGUACAACUAACACACUUCAUUUCUGCGGCGAACGGUUCCGAACCCAAGCCAUGACAUCACAGAAGAAGAACUCAAACAGCAAGAUCACCACAACAUUCAUCAACAGACACAAAAUACAUAACAACCUUCGCCACCAGUAUGCGCUGCUAAUCCGCAGCAAGUAAAAGUCUGAAGCAAUUUCCCGGCGUUUCUACAGCACAACAAGGGGGGAACACUAGAACUGCAACAAAGACUAAAGCUAGCCUACCAAACAACGGAAUAAGACAUGGGUUUGUGAAUGCUGGUUUCUGUUGAUCCUCUGGAAGGACAGGAAAUAAAGACGGGGAGAACGACGAGAGCCGAGCAACUCCUCAUCAUCUCAGGCAACAUGCUGAAGCUGCACNN
rnacentral:lncRNA from 1 species